rnacentral:rRNA from 1 species
UCAGGAUGAACGCUGGCGGCGUGCUUAACACAUGCAAGUCGAACGGAGCUUAGAAGGAAGCUUGCUUCAUUAAGCUUAGUGGCGGACGGGUGAGUAACGCGUGAGCAACCUGCCCUCGAGUGGGGAAUAACAUCGAGAAAUCGGUGCUAAUACCGCAUAAUGUCGAGAGACCGCAUGAUCUUUCGACCAAAGGAUUUAUUCGCUUGAGGAUGGGCUCGCGUCCGAUUAGCUAGUUGGUGAGGUAACGGCCCACCAAGGCUUCGAUCGGUAGCCGAACUGAGAGGUUGAUCGGCCACAUUGGGACUGAGACACGGCCCAGACUCCUACGGGAGGCAGCAGUGGGGAAUAUUGGGCAAUGGGCGAAAAAGCCUGACCCAGCAACGCCGCGUGAAGGAUGAAGGUCUUCGGAUUGUAAACUUCUUUGAUUGGGGAAGAAUAAAAUGACCUACCCAAAGAACAAGCCACGGCUAACUACGUGCCAGCCGCCGC